UACGUAGGUGGCAAGCGUUAUCCGGAAUUAUUGGGCGUAAAGGGUGCGUAGGUGGUUUCUUAAGUCAGAGGUGAAAGGCUACGGCUCAACCGUAGUAAGCCUUUGAAACUGGGAAACUUGAGUGCAGGAGAGGAGAGUGGAAUUCCUAGUGUAGCGGUGAAAUGCGUAGAUAUUAGGAGGAACACCAGUUGCGAAGGCGGCUCUCUGGACUGUAACUGACACUGAGGCACGAAAGCGUGGGGAGCAAACAGGAUUAGAUACCCCCGUAGUCCCUGAGCGGG
rnacentral:rRNA from 1 species